CAUGGGUUUAACUAUUUCAGGCAGGUCUACAUACAGAGAUAUCUGGUCCCUCUUAAGGCUCUGGAGAGUGCAUCUUAGAAGCUGAGGUUUAUCUGUCAGUGUGACUGCACGUCUCACCUCUGCAGCUUUUUUUAAGGAAGUCAAGAAACCAAAAAUGAUUUGAUUGCAUCUAAAAGAGCUGGUCAGAUGUAGAAUGCAACUGCUCAGUGUCAAUACAAAAGAAUGUCUUGCCAUCUCCAGUGAACAAGUAACUUCAGAACAUCAUUCGCAGCCCAUUCUGGAAAAAGAUAUAAAUGCAUAUCAAAUUUGGAUCAGUAUAUACAAUUAUCGAGAGAAAACAGAGCUCCAUGAACACUGGACCCAAUGCUGAAAAAGGUGGGUUGCAGCUGACAUGGAACUGAGGACAGGUCUUCUACAUCCCAGAGGCUGGGUUCCAGGGCCCAGGAAGAGGAAGCUCUUGACCCUGUGGGGGUUCUGGAAGUAACAGGAAAAUAGAAGACGUGUGGCUGUUUAAAACUGAGCAGAGAAACAGAGGUUUACAUGGAGUUAACAAGAUAAUAAAGGGAGUAUGAGCUCUGCACUGCUGCAUGUGACUGCAUGCAAACCAUUUAGAGAAAAGAGAUGAUGCAUGUGCCCCAUGGGUACUGCUGAGAUAAAAAUUCUCUGGUCUUCUAUGCGUGUACAUGUGUUCACUAACAUUAUAAACAAAGAAAUACAGGAACCUUGCAAUUUAGUAAUCCGAUUGAUCCAGCCAAAUUACUGCUAUCUCUGCUGGUCCUACAGUCACCAGAAGGAUGUUUAAUACAUAUACUUUAAAAAGUUAUUGUAUGCUGUCUUAUGCAUAAAUACUAAUUUUCAAUACAGAACUGAAGGAAGUACCACACUGAAGUAAUGCAAACAAUUUCUGUCUGAACAGCACUGUGGCUCCAAAUUGCACAGGAAGCUGAGGGUUCCCUAUGAAGACGAGGGAAAUAGAAGUUCUUCUAUAGCCUAGCAUUUAAAAAUCUUCGAUGUAAAUUUUCGAGAACUUUCAUUUGUCUGCCUGCUAUCAAGCAUCGUGCAAUACAAGCAUAUACUUUGCAAGUGCAAAUUCUCUUGCUCAUGAUUGGGGGAACUCUGUACUUCAUGAUACCUCUGUACCUCACACCUGAGUAAGAUGACAAAAUGGGUGUAAUCUCUACCAUUCUGAAAGUCAUUUUUUCUAAUUAUCUGCCCUAAGCUGUCACACGAUGUAGAGAACAGGGAGUUGGUUUAUGAAUGUACUGAUUCUUCUGGACAAACCCAGAUAGAUGUUCAAAUCAUGUAUAGUGAAAAAUGUCACUGGCAAAUUUGCAGGCCUAGCUUUUAACAGGCAUUAUAAACUUCAAUUGUGCAGACACAACAUUAAAUUCUUGCUAUUCUUUAUUUUUGUAAUUAGGAAGUUUUACCUAGAUUUUUAAAUUUUUGCCCUGCAUUACUUAUACUUGAUGACAUCUAAUAAUAUGAUCUAAAAAACAAUAUGUGGAACAUUGUAUACACACUAUUGCACUCUUUUUCUAUAUUCUUUAACAUGGAAGGUGUCCCUGCUCAUGACAGGGGGGCUGGAUGAUCUUUAAGGUUCCUUCCAAGCCAAAAACUUCUGUGAUUCCAUACCAUAAAAAAAGAAAGAUUUCCUAUUCACUUCAGUUUACCUCUGCUUAUUUAAAAGUAAUGUAAAGCUCUGUUACCUAUUCUUAAAGAAUUGACUCAAGGUCUGACUUCACUGGGCUCUGAAUUGUGACCCACAUCCUAGGGUCCAGUUGAAAUUCUAGCUAGUACUUAACAGUCGGUACCACGUGCACGCUUUUCAGCGAAGCCAAGAGCCUACAGCUAUCAGAGACUGCAGUUGUAGCUGUAAGGGUUUAAUAACUAGAGCAUUUCUCACAAGGAUCUUUAUAGUGUAGACAGUUAUGUCAGUAAUUUUUUAAAGCAUAUUGAGUGAAUUACCAUUUUAUGGUACUAUGAAAUAAAAAGAACUAUAUGCAUGACUGUUCAACAUGUAUAAAUGCUUGUUUUUACAGUGAAGGAAAACUUGUAUCAUGAAAGCAGUCGCUUUCAUCUACAUCAGGAAACUUGAAACUCUGCAUUGUGAAAGAAAUUGUAAAUAAAAAAAUUAUACAGCUGUAAUGAUUAAAUGUAAAAAUUUUGCUUCCUUUUUUUUUUUUUAAUAUUUUAUUAUUAUUUGUAGACUAACAAAAAUGUUGUGUUGAAAGCUGGUGUGAUCCACAGGAUAUUUAUAAACAACUUACCAAAACU